CAGGCGAUAAAUCAUUCAAGUUUCUGACCUAUCAGCUUUCGACGGUAUGGUAUUGGCUUACCGUGGCAGUGACGGUUAACGGGGGAUUAGGGUUCGAUUCCGGAGAGGGAGCCUGAGAAACGGCUACCACAUCUAAGGAAGGCAGCAGGCGCGCAAAUUACCCAAUUCUAACAGUUUGAGAGAGGUAGUAACAAGAAAUAACAAUACAAGGCAGUUAAAAUGCUUUGUAAUUGGAAUGAUAGAAAUUUAAACCCUUUUUAAAGUAUCAAUUGGAGGGCAAGUCUGGUGCCAGCAGCCGCGGUAAUUCCAGCUCCAAUAGCGUAUAUUAAAAUUGUUGCAGUUAAAAAGCUCGUAGUUGAAGUUCUGCUAAAAGUAACCGGUCUGCUUUUAAUAAAGGUGGUAUCUUGGUGUGUAUUUAGCAAUGAUGUCCUUUGAAGUGUUUUUUACUUUAUUGUAAUAAAGCAUAUUCAGGACUUUUACUUUGAGAAAAUUAGAGU
rnacentral:rRNA from 1 species